UGGGGAAUCUUGCACAAUGGGGGAAACCCUGAUGCAGCGACGCCGCGUGAGCGAUGAAGCCCUUCGGGGUGUAAAGCUCUUUCGGCAGGAACGAUAAUGACGGUACCUGCAGAAGAAGCUGCGGCUAACUACGUGCCAGCAGCCGCGGUAAUACGUAGGCAGCAAGCGUUGUUCGGAGUUACUGGGCGUAAGGAGUAUGUAGGCGGUUGCGUAAGUUCGGUGUGAAAUCUCCCGGCUUAACUGGGAGGGUGCGCCGAAAACUGCGUGGCUUGAGUGUGGGAGAGGAGAGCGGAAUUCCUGGUGUAGCGGUGAAAUGCGUAGAUAUCAGGAGGAACACCGGCGGUGUAGACGGCUCUCUGGACCAUUACUGACGCUGAGAUACGAAAGCGUGGGUAGCAAACA
rnacentral:rRNA from 1 species